rnacentral:rRNA from 1 species
UACGUAGGGGGGCAAGCGUUGUCCGGAAUCAUUGGGCGUAAAGAGCGUGUAGGCGGCCAGAAAAGUCCGCUGUGAAAACUCGAGGCUCAACUUCGAGCUGUCGGUGGAAACUUUCUGGCUAGAGUCCGGAAGAGGAGAAUGGAAUUCCUGGUGUAGCGGUGAAAUGCGCAGAUAUCAGGAAGAACACCCGUGGCGAAGGCGGUUCUCUGGGACGGUACUGACGCUGAGACGCGAAAGCGUGGGGAGCGAACAGG